rnacentral:lncRNA from 1 species
AUGGCGGCUGCGAGCGCGGAGAAGCUGCUUCCUCCUUCUCCCUCGUUCUCGCGGCGUCUCUGCGCUGUGACGUCAGACGCACAACGUAAGACCCGGCAGGGCGGGAGCUCCAUGGAGAGGCUCCGCCCCCACGUCCCGCCCCUGAGGAGGUGCCGCCGUCAGGGCCGCGGCUCUGAGGGCAGUGGGGAGGUUUUCUUUACGUCCCGUCCUAACCCAACCCACCCCACAUGCUGGGCAUCGACUUUACCCGAAUCUUCAUGGCUUUGUAAGCCAACCUCAUGGAAAAAUUCAAACAUGGGGGCUUGGAGCUGCCCCCUCUGCCGUGUGCAAUCUCAUGGAUCGCGGAGCGGUUCCUGCCCCGUUCCGGGGAUGGCGGAUCCAGCCGAGUCAUGUCCUGACACAGUGCACAUGCAGUGCAAUGCUCUGAACAUGUGA